UGGAGCCACGACCUCCGCUUGACUGGGCCAAGCUGCUUGCCAAGAGAGAUGAAGAGGAAAGGAUACGCCGGAAAGAUUUUCCUCAACCCGGGAGCAUUUUUGGCGCCGAGGAUACCGAAGUUGCACACGUGACUGCCGAGGAGGUGGGUGAAUUCAGGUCAGCCAACAACGACGCAGUUGUCAAAGAUCCGGGAGCGCAGGAACGUCCACGCACAGGCGUGACAACCAACCCCGUGGCAUCAUUCGACGAGGCACUUGCAAUGCAUCCAGAAAUCUUUGACGAAAUGUGUAGGAAGAAUUCCAAGGAACCGUCACCGACGCACAACCAAGCCUUGCGAAGUCUGCUUCAAGGUAACGACCUGUCUAGUGUCGCACAGACGGUUGCACGCAAGACUAUUGGUGACAUCUUACCUGCUGCCUUGGACCUAGCUGACAGCCACGCUCAUCAAAGAGAGGGAUGGCAAAGCCCAUCCUGUCUCGUCUUGGCCCCGACACGCGAACUAGCCCAGCAAAUAGAGAGAGAGACAAAGAAAUACCACUACCGAGGGGCAAAGUCCGUGUGCACUUACGGAGACAGCAGUUGGUUAGAGCAGGUCGACGCAGUUAAACAAGGAGUGUAGCGCGACUCCUGGCCGG
rnacentral:misc_RNA from 1 species